GACUCAUUUCUCUAAUUCUUCUUUUCCAGGGCACCGUUGAGCUGUUGCAACUGUUCUGCUGGAGCCUUAUGUAUGUGGUUGAAACCACCUGUACUACUGGAAUGAAAGCACCUUUACAGAAGAGGCAAUGCAAGUUGUAUUCAUCACAUGUGUAGAAUGAAUUAAGAUUUAUGCCAGUUGCAAAGAAGAAUAUUGGCUCACUAUUUUUCCUCUGGGCAUCUCCCCUCUCCACUGAGGGCUGAUUUCAUCACUCAACAAAAUUCUCCGAAUUCACCAUCCUUCAGUUCAUCCACAUGACCUCAUUCCUCUUGGGCACCGGACAAGAAUUUGGGAUGCACCAAAUGCAGGUACCCAAAAAGGCUUUCACACUGGCCUUUUGCCUUUGCUGGCAGAGGGCAGCCAUCUCACAAUGAGGCAAACGGUCCACUGAGCUGAUAACACACUGUGUCUGUGGACAACAGAGUUAAGAGGGCAAUGUAACAAGUCCUCUGGGGCCUUGGGAUCACAGGCACCCACCCACACCUGGAUGCUGCCAUGGGGCCUGCACAGAGUUUGCUCCUGCUGUCGCUAAAGCUGCCAGCCCCGUUCCUGCACUCGCCUACACACUCCCUCCCUCCAGUGGUGCAUCAAGGCGGACCCAAGGGUACAAGCAAUUUUCCAGUCUUGACCCUUUAUCUGUUGACCAAGCUAAGGCAGAAACCAGCUAAAUUCUGGAUUUAAUCUUGAGCAGCAAAAAAGAUCAGCUUUUGAAGUGGAUCUGCUUUUAUUCUUGGCAAAAGUUCAGCGGAGACCAACCAGAGUGGUGACAAAGUUCUUCAACAUCAAGCCAAAUGUAAUACAAGGAAUUACGGAUAGUGCUUAAUCUAAAAUAAAGAAAUUCCACAUCUCCCUAAAAAGUUAUUGGCUUCAAGAAUGAAAACAAAAGAAGCAUAUUUGUCUCAAUCCAAACACAGACACCAGAAAGACAAACCAGGAGUAUACAGCAAAGUAGCUUGCAGGAUAAUACAUUGAAAAAUGUAAUUGUGCAUAAAUCAUGCACAAAGUAGAAACCACAAAUUCUGUAUUUGGCAAGGCUUCGGUUCCUUUGCAUAAUUCUUUCAUUUUCAUCUUGCUGCUUCCAUUCUCUUUUCAUCAAAAAAAGCUACAUAAAACAAAGACAUAAACUGUAUGCAAUUAAAAUGAGAAAAUAGCUGAAAGGAAUGUAUUGAUAAUUAUGUUAAAAUCUAUACCAUAAGUAUUCUUGCAUUGUUAAGCAUCUAAUUUUUCAUGUGUUGACAUCAGCAUCUCAGUUCUCUCUAACAUCUGAAAGCUUUUUUUUUUAAGGCAACUUCUUUUAGAGUGAACAAACUUAUGUACCACCGAGUUGACAAAAGUAUAACUAUAUCCUACAGAAAGAGACCUCAAGUAAACCUCCAGCAGCCAUCUGGACUUCCAUGAAAACAGAACAAUCAGUGAGAUGCAGAGCUUGGAGGAGACAGUUUCCAUAGACUGAAGCACGUGCUGAAGCAAAGUUCACACUUGCAGGAUUAGAAGAGGUUGACCGAAAGAAGGAAGGACAUGGACAGCUAUGUUGUUGUGGAGUCCUGUUUUAUAGUCAUAACCUUGAGUCAAGUGAGUUUGUCUGGACAGACAGAGCUUGUUGCCUUUACUUAUAGGGAAGGCACCGGACACAGACAGCCUCAAGGACAUUUGUUCUAGCCUUUCAGUAUCCUUUCUCUUAAUUAUCUCACCUCAUCCAUGAAGCUGGUAUGUACGAUUUUUCCUUUCUUUCUCAAUCCUUUAAAAAAUUAAAGCUCUAAAUCUCAUUUCCACUUAGAUUUUAAUGUUGCAUUGUAACUUAAGAUAAAACCUUGCUCUGAUGUUAAAAAUACUAAAGUAAGAAGCAAUAUGGCAUAGUGCUUAUGAGCAGGACUACAUAGUUCUUUCUGAAUACAAAUCUCAGAUAAAACACUAUCUCAGUGAUCAACCAGGUUAAGCAACCUUUUUAGUGCCUCAAUUAUUCCAUUUGUAAAAUUGUAAUAAUGAUAGUACUAACCUAUAAGAUUGUGGUGAGGAUUAAGUCAGAUAAUACAAAAGAAGCAUUUAGAGUAUUUCCUGGCAUUAUCUACCAUUUAUUGAAUUUUUAUGGUUAAGAAGAAUAAGGAAAAGCAGAAGAAAAGGAAAAGAGAAAAAAUACAUAAGAAGAAGGAAGAGUGGUAAGCUCUAGUAAAUUACAACAAACGGUAACGUAGAAAACAUUUGUUAGCCCUUAAUAUAGGCCAGGCACUGUGUUCAAUGCUUAAACCUCAUUACUGUUCUUUGAAGUGGAUAACAUUAUUCCUUCCAUUUUAAAGAAAGGAAUACUAAAGACAACUUUGUCAAUAUUAUUCAUGUAAUAAAUGACAGAAUUUGACCAAGACAAUAGAGAAUGAACUCUUAAUCACUAUAUUGUUUUAUUUUUUGAAAAUAGAUUUUAAGUUCUUAUUAAAUGUUAAUGACUCACAUCAAAAUAAAGCCAAUCAAAAUUGACAGCAA
ensembl:lncRNA MIR924HG MIR924 host gene